rnacentral:rRNA from 1 species
UGUAAAGUUCAAGCUCCGAUUAUGAGGGCGAAACCGCGAAUGGCUCAUUAAAUCAGUCAUAAUCUACUUGAUUGUUUAAAAGUUAUAUGGAUAACUGUGGUAAUUCUAGAGCUAAUACAUGCACAAAAGGGGCGAUUUCUUGUGGCAACAUGAGAAAAAGCUCUGCGUUUAUUAGUAUAAGACCAAUGAUUUGAGCAAUCAAAUCUUUUUAUAUGGUGACUCUGAGUAAAUAAUGGCUGUAAGGCCAUGAUGCCGACCUGGCAUACCAAAUCGGGGUUAAACCCGAGCCAGGCAAAUCAAUCGAGUGUCUGCUCUAUCAACUGUGGAUGGUAGGGUAAUUGCCUACCAUGGUGAUGACGGGUAACGGGGAGUUAGGGCUCGACUCCGGAGAACAAGCCUGAGAAACGGCUAGUAGGACUAAGGUCUGCAGCAGGCGCGAAACUUACACAAUGCUAGAUUUAAAAUAACUUAGCGAUGUAGUGAAGAUUUAUAACGAUGCCGCGAUUAUAUAUUAAUCGCGGCAAUUGGAAUGAGGCGACUUUAGCUCAGUUAGCCGAGUAACAAAUGGAGGGCAAGUCUGGUGCCAGCAGCCGCGGUAAUUCCAGCUCCAUUAGCAUACAUUAAAGUUGUUGCGGUUAAAAAGCUCGUAGUUGAAUUUCUGGCAGGCUCUAUUGGGUGGCAGCCGUAAAGGGUUCUUUCUUCGGAUCGAACCUGGAUGUCUUACUCCAUUAGGAACCUGUCGUUUCGUCACUUAAUCGAGUGCGAAGCGGGGUGUGGCUUUUAGAUCUUGUAUCUAUUAAGUUCGCACCAUGUUUACCUUGAGAAAAUUAGAGUGCUCAGAGCAGGCAGUUGGGGUGUAAAAACCUCUUUAUGCUUGAAUAAUGUUGCAUGGAAUAAUAGAAUACGGCCUCGGUUCUAUUCUGUUGGUCUUAUAGAACAACCAAGAAAGUUAAAUGCGGCAUCAAACGGUUAGUAUAAAUUGUGGUAUUAGGCUCUGAUACUCAGUUGCAUGUUGUCUAGGACCUAAAAAUCUUAGUACCAUUAGCUAGUAUUAUCCCUAAUGCCAUCAAAGCAAUUUAUAAUGACUGGCCAUCAUUUAAUUGAGGCAAUGGUUAAAAGAAAUAGUCGCGGCGGCAUCAGUACUGCAUCGUGAGAGGUGAAAUUCUUAGACCGAUGCAAGACUAACUGAAGCGAAAGCGUUUGCCGAGGAUAUUUUCAUUAAUCAAGAACGAAAGUUAGAGGUUCGAAGGCGAUCAGAUACCGCCCUAGUUCUAACCAUAAACGUUGCCAACUAGCAAUUGGGUUGCGAUUCCUUUAGUUGAGGACGUAAAACUCCUCAACCAUUAUGAUCCACCCAGCGGCUCUCGUAGGGAAACCAAAGUGUUUGGGUUCCGGGGGAAGUAUGAUUGCAAAGUUGAAACUUAAAGGAAUUGACGGAAGGGCACCACCAGGAGUGGAGCCUGCGGCUUAAUUUGACUCAACACGGGGAAACUUACUAGAUUAGAACUCUGGAAUGAUUGACAGAUUGAUAGCUCUUUCUUGAUUCAGAGGAUGGUGGUGCAUGGCCGUUCUUGAUUCGUAUUCCGAAACGUCUGCUUAAUUGCGAUAACGAGUGAGACCUCUUCCAACUAACUAGUUACUUGGUGCGCUGUGGGACACCAAAGUUUGCAUUAGACCAUCUAGUCGUAGGGGUAAAACCUGAAAGCUAGACCUGAUGUAAAUGUCCUCUGCUCGCCGGUAGACUUCUUAGAGGGAUAAACGGUGUUUUAGCCGUAAGAAACGAGGCAAUAACAGGUCUGUGAUGCCCUUAGAUAUUCUAGGCCGCACGCGUGCUACAAUGGCGUGUGCAGAAAGCUUAUUCGAGGUUCGUCCUUGGAGAACUAGCUGUUUGGUGCGUAUGGGGGUAACUUCGUACGUAUCGGCAGAAAAGUGACCAGGUGCUACGAGCCGAGAGAAACCGGGUUCGAAAGAAUUCGGCAAUCAUAAAUACACGCCGUGAUUUGGGAUUGGGGAUUGCAAUUGUUGCCCAUGAACGAGGAAUUCCCAGUAAGCGCAAUUCAUCAUAUUGCGUUGAUUACGUCCCUGCCCUUUGUACACACCGCCCGUCGCUACUACCGAUUGGAAGUUUUAGUGAGGCAUCUGGACCUGCUAGCCAUGUCUUGGGGGCAACCCUAAGCGAGGAUAAGCGGGGAAGUUUGUCGAACUCAAAUUUCUAGAGGAAGUAAAAGUCGUAACAAGGUUUCCGU